GGCGGACGCAGCUUGUCGAUCUGGGCGACCUCCGGGGAGAGGGGCCGUUGACUGCAGGUUGAGAUAUGUUUAGUCUGAAGGAAAAAGGGGAAGCUGUAAGAGAAAUCCAACGUGGUAUUGAUACUGAAACAUGGCUUUGGUGGUCUUGAGUAAAUAAUGGGAACAAUUGUGGAUGAUUUGAUGGCAU